UUGCAUGGCCAACUGCUGCAAGUAAUUGUAGAGGAAAAUCCGCUCUAGCACUUGCUGUGAUGCAAGUAGUGAUCAUGCUAGGUCUAAUAAACCUAGGCAACCUUCUUUUUAGAAGUUGACGACUAGUGCAACAGAGACGAGCUUAUUAAAUUAAGGUGCAACGGUGUAAACUCCAUGAGUUAGAAACCCAAAUUUUGGUAGGGGAACCUUUGCUAAGGGAAACAAACUAAAGCAAGGAAGUUAUUUUUAAAAUAGCUUAGAUAAAUAGUUGGCGCUGUGUAAUUAAUUUUGUAAUAAUUCUUUUAGAAAAUAAUCGAUUGUUAUCCAUUUUUUAACUCCUUUACAUAAUGUUGUUCAAUGAUUGAUGUUCUUUAUUAUUUCUAAAUUAAUUCACAGUACAAAAAGCGGUUUAUAGUG
rnacentral:RNase_P_RNA from 2 species